CAGCAGCCGCGGUAAUACGUAGGGUGCGAGCGUUAAUCGGAAUUACUGGGCGUAAAGCGUGCGCAGGCGGUUAUAUAAGACAGAUGUGAAAUCCCCGGGCUCAACCUGGGACCUGCAUCUGUGACUGUAUAGCUAGAGUACGGUAGAGGGGGAUGGAAUUCCGCGUGUAGCAGUGAAAUGCGUAGAUAUGCGGAGGAACACCGAUGGCGAAGGCAAUCCCCUGGACCUGUACUGACGCUCAUGCACGAAAGCGUGGGGAGCAAACAGGAUUAGAUACCCCAGUAGUCCCUGUCUCUUAUAC
rnacentral:rRNA from 1 species